GCGCCCUGCCUGUGCAAACGGUUGGUGGCGGGCCCGCCCGAAAGCGCAAGAGAGA
rfam:Trypanosoma cruzi strain CL Brener tcruzi_1047053462131, whole genome shotgun sequence.